UGGGGAAUAUUGGACAAUGGGCGCAAGCCUGAUCCAGCCAUGCCGCGUGAGUGAUGAAGGCCCUAGGGUUGUAAAGCUCUUUCACCGGUGAAGAUAAUGACGGUAACCGGAGAAGAAGCCCCGGCUAACUUCGUGCCAGCAGCCGCGGUAAUACGAAGGGGGCUAGCGUUGUUCGGAUUUACUGGGCGUAAAGCGCACGUAGGCGGACUUUUAAGUCAGGGGUGAAAUCCCGGGGCUCAACCCCGGAACUGCCUUUGAUACUGGAAGUCUUGAGUAUGGUAGAGGUGAGUGGAAUUCCGAGUGUAGAGGUGAAAUUCGUAGAUAUUCGGAGGAACACCAGUGGCGAAGGCGGCUCACUGGACCAUUACUGACGCUGAGGUGCGAAAGCGUGGGGAGCUAACAGG
rnacentral:rRNA from 1 species